AUGAGGAGGCCGCGGCGGGGACAGCGAAAAGUCAUUCCCGUGCGCACAGGCGGUCGCCGUGGGCAGCCCGGAGGCAGCCGCCGCCACGUUCCCACGCACGCUGCAGGGCAGAGCGGGCGACACUUGGGUCCAGAGACCCGUGGCACGCCACUCUCCCGGAGAGGCGGCGACGAGAUGGGCCUGGACUGGCGGCUACCGCAGCCUAUGGCGCGACCACCGCUGUGUUUGCAGGGUUCGCACUGGCAGAGAACCCUUUUAGUCUUUGCACCAGGAAUCUCAUAUGCUUCCAAAUGUUUUACAAAACACAGUAAAAAAGGAUUUCAGCUUUCCCAUCUGCCAUCUGCAGUGGAGCCGCCACCAAAAUGCAUUUUCGUGAAAACCCUUAGGGGGAAGGCCAUCACCCUCGAGGUCAAACCCUCGGAUAAGAUAGAAAAUGUAAAGGCCACAAUCCAGGAUGAGGAAGGAAUUCCUCCUGAUCAGCAAAGACUGAUCUUUGCUAGCAAGCAGCUGGAAGAUGGACGUACUUUGUCUGACUACAAUGUUCAAAAGGAGUCUACUCUUCAUCUUGUGUUGAGACUUCGUGGUGCUGCUAAGAAAAGGAAGAAGUCUUAUACCACUCCCAAGAAGAAUACGCACAAGAGAAAGAAGGUUAAGCUGGCUGUCCUGAAAUACUAUAAAGGGGAUGAGAAUGGCAAAAUUAGUCGCCUUGGUUGAGAGUGCCCUUCUGAUGAAUAUGGUGCUGGAGUGUUUACGGCAAGCCACUUUGACAGACAUUGUGGCAAAUAUUGUUAGACUUACUGUUUCAACAAACCAGAAGACAAGUAA